rnacentral:hammerhead_ribozyme from 1 species
CUGCCACUGAGGAGUCCUGCAAUAGGGCGAAACGGCCGUCAAGCAG